AGAACAUAGGACGAAAUCUGUAACUGUGAAACCUCACUGUGUUCUCCCUGCAGACUUCAAGAAAAUGCGGGGCAGGAGGAAUGCUGUGAUUAAGGAAAGGACGACAGCUGAUCUCAGCCUUGCAGCGGGAGGAAAGCAGGUGGCUCAGACAGUGCAGAUGUUGGUGAACUGCUGCCACAGACCAUCAUGUGGUUCUUCCUGCAGCCUCUGAGUUGUAGGAUGUCUCAUCAGUGUCCGUCUUCCUGACUGCCAGUCGGUGUUUACCUUCAGGAUGUCCAGAGACCUUCACCUUUCUGGAGCAGGAAUCACAUGAGCUCAAUGUGCUGAUGAAACAUUUCUAAUUUCAAAAAAAUGUGGCUGAUGUGCAUUAACAAUCUGUUGAUUUUAACUUCUCAAUAUGUUUAAUUAUGAUUCAUCUGUUCAAGUUAUACUUAGAACAAAUACAGCUGUGUUCCUUCUAAUCUGACUGGUUCUACUUUUAAUCAAACCUUCAUGUUUUCACAUUUUGGUCACUAAGAAUUGAUCGGGGGCUCAAAGUUUAAACUCAAUCGUAUUUAUUGCUAAUUAAGGUUACAGGUUUUGGACACAUUUUCUCUCUUUCUGACAUUGAAGAUUCUCCAGGAAGACAGCUAAACAGUGAGAGGAUAGAAUGAUGCCCUACAAAGUAGAAAGUAACAAACAUGAUUUGUACUUUGGAUUCUUGUUAAUAGCAACCCUUAUAACUAUGUCAAAAUGUUUGGUUUGCUGAAUAAUGUAUUCACUUUUGGUUACCUUCAUUGGUAAUCUACAAUGUUAAGUGUCAAUGACAUAUUUACAUAAUAUAAUAUUAUUUUUACUCUGUCUAAAGCUCCUCACAUUUUGGGAGGAUUGUAUUAGGACCUUAAUGCCAAACGAACUACAGUAUGUACAAUAACGUGUGGAGAGAGUAUAAAAAAAGAGACUUUGUUCAUUGAGAGCACAACAGCAUUUAUUUUUCUUUAGUUUCUUUAGUGGAGCUCUGCCAUCUCAGUGCUGGUAGCUGUUUCCUCCUGAAGGUUGUUCUGAUGGUUUUCCUCAUCGUUCACCAUCAUGUCAGCCAUGUUCCUCUUCUUCUGUUCCCUGGGAAAAGUAAUCAAAUGUUAUAGCUUAUAGUAGAUAAAUAACAGAGUUACUAAUGUGGAAGAAGGAAUUAUUUAAAACAGACAUGUUACUUUAUAUCUAUGCAAACAUUUUUUUUACCAUUCAGACAUACAGAAUUAUAAAUAACUGGAAUAGUUGUAUAAAUCCUGUUAAAAGCACCUACAAAGCAUGAGCCAUUAGUGAACAAAAAGAAAAAGUGGCCAACAAAAAGUGGCAGCAGAGCUGUCCCAUCUAGCACAGUCAUUCAGUGGACUGAAAAACACCAGUUGAUUUCGGAACAACUCAUUGACUGUCUUGUCAACCCCCCUAUUCUUGGCUUCCCAGAUUUCUCACAGCCAUUUGUUCUCCACACGGAUGCGUCCAAUCUGGGUCUAGAUGCCGUGCUAUACCAAAAGCAGAAUGAAAGCUCCGUGUGAUUGCAGCUGUUAAGGUGCGUGAGCCAUAGGUAGAGAAAAAUUAUCAUUUGCAUUUGGGGAAGUUGGAGUUUCUCGCCCUUAAAUGGGCUAUAACAGGGAAAUUCAGAGACUAUUUAUAUUAUGCUCCGUUUUUCACUGUCUAUAGUGACAAUAAUCCACUCACAUAUGUGUUGUCCACUGCCAAACUAAAUGCAACAGGAUGUCGAUGGGUUGCAGAGCUGGCAGAUUUUUAUUACUCUGUAUAUAUAUUCUCUUUUGUGCCCCCCUUGAGAUAGCCCUGGCCCUCCUUUGGCCCCCCCAAAUUUCAAAGUCUAGCUCUGUCAGCACUACCUUCAUUCAGUGUUCAACUGUAAAACUGUUGCUUUGGAGUAAUAAAUGAAGUUUGCACACCCA